AACGAACGCUGGCGGCAGGCCUAACACAUGCAAGUCGAACGCCGUAGCAAUACGGAGUGGCAGACGGGUGAGUAACACGUGGGAACAUACCCUUCGGUUCGGAAUAACUCAGGGAAACUUGAGCUAAUACCGGAUACGUCCGCGAGGAGAAAGAUUCAUCGCCGGAGGAUUGGCCCGCGUCUGAUUAGCUUGUUGGUGAGGUAACGGCUCACCAAGGCGACGAUCAGUAGCGGUCUGAGAGGAUGAUCAGCCACAUUGGGACUGAGACACGGCCCAAACUCCUACGGGAGGCAGCAGUGGGGAAUAUUGGACAAUGGCGCAAGCCUGAUCCAGCCAUGCCGCGUGAGUGAUGAAGGCCCUAGGGUU
rnacentral:rRNA from 1 species